UCGGAUAUAGUUGGCAUGCCAUAGGAUUGGAAGUGUUCAGGGAUACUUCGACCUUGAGUCGAUGAGACACUGGGUGUCAUACUGUUACUUCGGAUAGAUUCGAUGAGGUACUGGGUACCAACUUACUUCGGUUUUGCCGAUGAGACACUGGGUGUCAACUAUUGCUUCGAACUAUCCGAUGAGGCACUGGGUGCCGUACUGGUGUGUUUGGUUGGAUCCGUGUAUCCGCCAAAGUCCGAGUCAUGUUAAUAGGGGAAAAUAAAAGAAUUGAGGUAAGAAAUGAUAUUGAAUUAUGAAUUAUGUGAAUAUUUGAAG
rnacentral:lncRNA from 1 species